rnacentral:rRNA from 1 species
CCUACGGGCGGCAGCAGUGAGGAAUAUUGGUCAAUGGACGAGAGUCUGAACCAGCCAAGUAGCGUGAAGGAUGACUGCCCUAUGGGUUGUAACCUUCUUUUAUAAAGGAAUAAAACGAGGCACGUGUGCCUUUUUGCAUGUACUUUAUUAAUAAGGAUCGGCUAACUCUGUGCCAGCAGCCGCGGUAAUACGGAGGCUCCGAGCGUUAUCCGGAUUUAUUGGGUUUAAGGGGAGCGUAGAUGGGUUGUUAAGUCAGUUGUGAAAGUUUGCGGCUCAACCGUAAAAUUGCAAUUGAUACUGGCAGUCUUGAGUACAGUUGAGGUAGGCGGAAUUCGUGGUGUAGCGGUGAAAUGCUUAGAUAUCACGAAGAACCCCGAUUGCGAAGGCAGCUUACUAAACUGUGACUGACAUUGAUGCUCGAAAGUGUGGGUAUCAAACAGGAUUAGAUACCCGAGUAGUC